AAAUAUGUGAAAACAAUAGAAAUACUCACGUUUUUAUAACUCGUAUCGGUGUAAUAGAACAAGGUUAUUACCAAACUGGCCAGCGAUAUUGAAGUGGCUCCAUUGAAGACAUAUUUAUGAAAGACCUGCCCCUUAUAGACCGCCGUAAAUGUCCAAUAACAAUUACAGACAAUAUCGAAAAACGAGGUCAUAAACAAAUACAAUAUCGACCAGCCAAAGGCAUCGUUUAAGGAUUUGAACAAUUCCCAAAUGCGCAAAUAAAUCAAACGUCUGGCAUUCAAUUGGGCAUACUCUUCAUCCUUAUAGGGCUGCCACAAUCCCACUGCAUUCGAUGGCGUUUUGUCUGUCGUCGAUAAUUUUAGCGCACCCUUAAACUAACACUGGUGGGGAAAGCCUGCCAGAACACUGGCUGUAUGGAGGAGAUGGCAUUGAUCCAGAGCUUAAAGCCGAUGCAAAUCAAUUCUAUGCAAAAUAUUGCCAGAAUUUCUUUGGACAUUUUAUGCCGCAGUUUUUCCAAUUCCUCAAUCCUUUUAUGAAAAUGUCUUUUAAAUAUAUAGAAGAUCUCAUCUUCAA